CCCCGCAUCACGAUAAAAGGUCUUUCUCCUAUUCUUGCUGUCACUCAUCGCCGAAGACAAGCCCGCCCCCCUGACCUUAGCGACGCAGGCAGCGGAGAACAGAUCCCCUCUUCUCUUCCUCACUCAGAUCUCCCUCGCCACACAUCCAUCCAUGGCGGCUGUGUACUCCCAGUCCCAGGCCAACGGCGUCGACAUGGCCGACAUACAAGACCUCACCAACAUAAGCCACAUGCUGCUCUCACUGCUUCCGUUUGCUUCGCCGCCGGAGGUAGCGCAGCUGGCGUUUGCGCUCUGGGUGCUGGGCUCCACAACCCUUGUCCUGGCCCUGACCAUCCUCUUCCACCUGCCGCCCGCGGGACCCGUCUUUGGCCGCUGUGCUGCAGCCUACUACGCCAUUCUCGGGGUCGUCCUCCUCGUCGCCGUGCCGGUGGAGCUGGUGACCGCGCUCUGCCUGCGCCACAGCCGCGAGGGCCGCCUCCUCGCCUUCGCCUCCUACCUCCUGCCCUGCGCUCACGUACUCCUCCUCCUCGUCAUCUCGGAAUGCUAUUCUUUUAAGACAAAAGUCAAAUCUUGGAGUUGCAUUUCUUCUUCAAGGAAAUUAAGCCAGUGGCCUUCAUUCCUUUGGCAAGCAACUUAAUUUGCCGUCUCUGGAAAUGUAGACAGUGCUGAUGUAUAGCUCAAGAUGUCUCACAGAAUAUGCAGAGCAAGACGUGCUCUGUUUUCUUUGUUUCUUGGAAAGUUAUGCUCUGCUUUUUGUUCAGCGUGACCACAAUUUCCACGUGGCCAGCAUUGGCGCCUUGUCGAAGCAGCCCUCAACGUGUAAGGCCGGCUUCCUGCAGUAUGGCUUCUCCCACACUGUGUUGCAGAUCCUGCGCUCGCUCAACGUGCUCGCCAAUGAGGCGCUUCGUUAGGGGCUGAAGGAGUACUACAACUGGCCUACCUUCUGGAGUAUUACAUUGACAGCAAGUUCUUCUGCGGGGUGACAUCACUGUCGGUAUGUAUGCUCUCUGGUUCCCAUGAUUACGGUUCAUAUUUUAGACACUCUGUUGCAGUACACUGUACACAUCCAUGGUAUUGGAGUAUGAGUUGCUCUGUGACUGAGAAAUAUGUUUUGUCUAGCAUCGCUGCAUCAGGCAUGGGAAUAUAUUCAUUACUCUGGCAUGUUCUGAAUUUCUGAGGGGCAAUGAUGGUAGAUUUGGCAAAUGGAAAUAUGUAGCUGUUUCAGGAAAGAUACACCAGUGUUGGUUGUGGCUUUGUCAAUGCGUCAUAGCUGCAUCCAGUGAAUUAGUUCAGAGCUUGAAAUUCAAGAGAUAAGUUAGGGGUGGAGUGCAUUCAGAGUCAGACACUCGGUCACUUUCUGCUUUCAUUUGUCAUUGAAGCCUUUUUUUGGAAAUAUUGUUUGAGAAACUAUAAUCUACUAUUAGUAAAGUGGAGACGGAAAGAAUUCUGAACAUGAUGGAACAGGGUCGAGAUGGAAUGUUUUAUCAAGUUGAAAGCCAACAGAGAGUUAAGUCCGUUGCUCCACAAUUUAUCUGUCAAAUAAACUACUCGACCCAUAGUCUAUCUGUUGAGGCUUGGGACUUGAUGUAGGGUUUACUGAAUAGUCCAUAGCCAAAACUGUUGGGACUUACGAGUGGUAAGUCUUGAAGACAGAAGAUUAUAUGGUGAUGCAGAGAGUAGGGUCACAUGGUUAUGCAGUCAUGCAUCACUUUCUUAGCUGUUAGAGGUUCUGGUCAGACUUAAAGACAGAAGAUUAAGAUGUCAUGGCUCAGCGCCAACAACAAUUAGGUAUUGUCAGACUCUGAUUUGAGCUAAUUAUCAUGAUGCUCAUGCUAUCUGAAGUCCCGAGGACCAACUUUGCUGUAAACUAAAAAAUGUGUUGUCAACUUGUAUCAUCCAAUUAUUCAUUUUUUUUGGAUCAUCCAUAAGCUUCCACGAUGGUUUGCAAUCUGAUGACAACCUUUGCAAAUUUCUAUUUCAGAUUUACACAUAUCAAUGGAUCAUCCCAUGUCAACCUUAAUUUUUCCCUAGUUUAACAGUUUAGAGUAUUUUCUAAGGGAUUUUCUCGCACUUUUCAUCUCAUCCGGCACCGGCAGAUUACAGAGGAGCGUGACCCUUGCCUCGGCGGUUUGAGGCCCUUCCCCCUGUGUGGAUACAUCCAUCUUCCAUAGCUUCACCUCCCAUACCUUCAAAUCCAUUCCAGCAGCAACUAUUUCUGUUAAAUUCAAGCAUAUUUUACUUCUUUCAGAUUUGAUAGCGAUACGCAUCUACAGAAGAUAGCUUUAACAAUUCCUUCAAUGUUAGUGAGCUUGUUAGUUAGACCAGUUGCAUUAUUUAUUCCUUCAAUGUUCUGUGUUGAGGCCAGAAUUCUGUUUGGUCAUGAACCCAAGUGUACUCAGCACCUUCUUACACCUACAGGAUAGGUUAUGGUAUGGAUUAUAGGCCGAUCCAACUAUAUUAGUACCAAAAAUCCAGUAGUGCUAUUCUUGGAAGUUAAGCCUUGUAGCGUUUCUACUUCAAGGAAAUGAAGUCAGCGGUUAUCAUAUCUUUGGUGUGCAACUUAAUUUGUUGUCUCUGGAACUGUGGCCAGUGCUGAUGUAUAGCUCAAGAUGUCUCACAGAAUAUGCAGGGCAAGACGUGCUCUGUUUUCUUUUACUUUUGGAAAGGCGUGCUCUGCACUUUUGGUCAGCGCGGCCGUGAUUUCCACGUGGUCAGCAUCGACGUCUUGCCGAAGCUGCACUCAACGUGUCAAGUCAGCUUCCCGCAGUGCGGUUCUCCCACGCGGCGGUUCAGAUCUUGCGCUCGCUCGACGUGCUCAUGAGUGAGGCCACUCUGGCAGGGGCUCAGGAGUACUCUAGCUGGCCCACCUUCCCGGAAUAUUACAGUGACGGCGAGUUAUUCUGCAGGGCCACAUCACGGUCGGUAUGUAUGCUCUUUGGGUUUCCUUCUCCCAUGAUUACGGUUCAUUUUUAAGACUCUGUUUGUACACUGCAUGGUAGUAUGAAUUGUUCUAUGAGAAAUCUGUUUUGUCUAGCAUCAGGGCACAGGAAUAUAUUCAUUACUUUGGCAUGUUCCGAGUGUCUGAGGGCAAUGAUGGUAGAUUUGGCAAAUAGAAACAUGUAGCUGUUUCAGGCAAGAUACAUCAGUGUUGCUUGUGGCUCAAAGGGUAUGUGGCUUUGUCAAUGCGUCAUAGCGGCAUCCAGUAAAUUAGUUCAGAUCUUGAAAUUCAAGAGAUAAAUCAAGGGUGGAGUGCAGUCAGCGUCAGGAAUAUUGUUCUUGUGGCAUUUCUACUUCAAGGAAAUGAAGCCAGUGGUUAAUUAAUGAUAUCUUUGGCGCGCACCUUAAUUUGUUAUCUCUGAAGCUGUAGCCAGUGCUGAUGUACUGCUCAAGAUGUCUCAUAGAGAAUAUGCAGAGCAAGACGUGCUCUGUUUUUUCUAAGGUUUGCACUGCAUUUUGCUCAGCGCGACCACAAUUUCCAUGUGGUCAGCAUCGACGUCUUGCCGAAGCAGCGCUCAACGUGUCAGGUCGGCUUCUUGCAGUAUGUCUUCUCCCACACGGUGGUGCAGAUCCUGCGCUCGUUCGACGUGCUCGCCAAUGAGGCGCUCCGGCAGGGGCUCAUGGAGUACUCUAGCUGGCCCGCCUUUCUGGAGUAUUACAUAGAUGGUGUCUCACAGAAUACGGACAGCAAGAUGUGCUCUGCUUUCUUGAUUAACGCGGCCAUAGUUUUCAGGUGGCCUGCACUGACGUCUUGCCAAAGCAGCGCUCAACGUUUCUGGCCGGCUACUCGCAGUGUGGCUUCUCCCACAUGGUGGUGCAGGUUCUGUGGUCGCUCGAUGUGCCCUUCGAAACGCUCAAUGCGCUAGCCUACCAGGCGCUCCAGCAGUGGCUCACCUCCCCGCAGCUCUACAUCGACUUUCGAGUUCUUCAGAGGGUGUGACAUCACAGUUGGUAUGUAUAUAUGAGAUUUGCUCUCUGGUCUCUGCCUUCCCUUCUCCCACGAUUAUGGCCCAGAACUUUGAGACUGUCUGUUGCAGUACACGCGCAUGGUAGCGGAGGCAUGGUGCAUUCUUCUUGUACCUGAAUGUGUCUGUGGCAGUGUCAAAUGUUUAAUGGUUUAUUUCUUCACAUUCAGUGGGAUUGGAGUGCACAUGGCACUCUGUACCGGUGGAAUAUAUGCUCUCUGCCUUUCCUUCUCCCAUGAUUAUGGUUACAGUUCAAAAUUUGACUCUGCUGUAGUAGUACACGCCGAUGUUCGUUAUGAAUUGUUCCGUGAGGAACCUGUUGUUUGCAUCAGAGCAUACUAAUUCAUUCGAUGUUCGGAUGUACUUUUAGAUGAGGGCAACGUUGGUAGAUUUGACAUAUGGGGCAGUGUCAUUGUUUCAUAGUAGUUGAGUUCUUCACAAUAAAGAGACAAACUAGGAUUGGGUUGCA